UAGAUGUAUCAGAGUAAAAAAAAUAUGGGUGUAUUAGAGGCGAAUCAGUGCCAAAUACUGUAUCAAAGCAAAAAUAUUUAAAAGAGCAUAUAAAUAUAAAAAAAAAUUAGAUAGACGAUAUGCUACUUUCUCCAUUAUGAUAUCAUUCUCUCCCUUUUUGACAUCAUCAAAAAAAUAGACUAAAGGGAGUAAGAUUUUUCAUGAUUGCAUAUCAGAUAUCAAUGUAAUAGUACAUUCAUUCAAGUAUAAUAGGCAUUCAUCCAUUCAUUCAUCCAAAAAAGAAAUGAGCCA
rnacentral:lncRNA from 1 species